UGGUGCUGCUGCCAUGUCGAUGCAUCUAGAAUUCACAGAGCCCAGGGGAUCCAAGCAAAAGCUUAUGGUCAAAAACAUCUUGAAUGUCAAUUGAUGCUUCAGAAAGAGUGUUGGACGAUGUGAGGAACUGAGAGAUCUGGGCUAUCGUCCCAAUUUCAUCACUAUAAUUUCAGUGUGACCUUGGACAGAAAGCCUAGGAGAGAGCUUUUUGCACGUGAAUUCUCUUCAGUCACUCCAAGAGCUGAUUACACUGUGAGACCGACUUUGCUCAGCACGAAACAGACAGCACGUAACAGACACGGGGGCUGGGGGAAAGAUCUCUGAUGACUGCACACCUGAGCA
rnacentral:lncRNA from 1 species